UCCUCCUGGCAAUGGCCAAGAGUAAAUCUUUUUGGUGUGGUUUUGUUUUUAUAUCAGUCAGGGGCAGAGAAAUGACAGUCCUUUGUUCAUUCUAGCUUGGUGCCUGGCUUGGUAUCCCAAGAUGUUUUAUGCCUAGGACACAUAA